rnacentral:RNase_P_RNA from 1 species
AAAAUUGACCAAACAGUCGCUAUUUAACAAUGAUAAUAUUAAAUAGAGGAAAGUCCGGGCUCCAUAGAGCAAGGCGCCAGAUAAUCCCUGGGAAGUAUUAAUGCUGACGACAAGUGCAACAGAAAAAAUACCGCUUGAAUUACAUAUAAUAUUUUAUCAUUAUUAUAUAAAAUAUUUAAGUAAGGGUGAAAAGGAGUGUUAAAAGCACACCGCAUAUUUAGUAAUAAAUAUGGCUAUGCAAACUCCGCCUGGAGAAAAGUUAAAUAAGAUUACGUACAGCUCUGUAUCAUAAAAUCUGGGUAAACUGCUGAAACCGUAAAGUAAUUUUUUUUUUUUUUUUUUUUUUUUUUUUGGGGUUUAGAUAAAUGACUGUUUCUUACAGAACCCGGCUUAUAGGUCAAUUUUAUUA